GCUUGCUUUGGCAGUGCAUAUACUAAAAUUAGAACGAUACAGAGAGUAUUAGCAUGACCCCUGUGCAAGGAUGACACACAAAUUCAUAAAGUGUUCCUUAUUUUU